GAUGAACGCUGGCGGCGUGCUUAACACAUGCAAGUCGAACGGAAAGGCUCCUGCUUGCAGGGGUACUCGAGUGGCGAACGGGUGAGUAACACGUGGGUGAUCUGCCCUGCACUUCGGGAUAAGCCUGGGAAACUGGGUCUAAUACCGGAUAGGACCACAUUUUGGAUGGUGUGGUGGAAAGUUUUUCGGUGUGGGAUGAGCUCGCGGCCUAUCAGCUUGUUGGUGGGGUAAUGGCCUACCAAGGCGUCGACGGGUAGCCGGCCUGAGAGGGGGUACGGCCACAUUGGGACGGAGAUACGGCCCAGACUCCUACGGGAGGCAGCAGUGGGGAAUAUUGCACAAUGGGCGCAAGCCUGAUGCAGCGACGCCGCGUGGGGGAUGACGGCCUUCGGGUUGUAAACUCCUUUCGCUAGGGACGAAGCGUUUUUGUGACGGUACCUGGAGAAGAAGCACCGGCUAACUACGUG
rnacentral:rRNA from 1 species